rnacentral:rRNA from 1 species
GUACACACCGCCCGUCGCUGCUACCGAUUGAAUGAAUUAGUGAGCUUCAUGGAUUGUUACUAAUGAGGGCAACUUUGUUAGUGAUGAGAAGUGAAUCAAACUUGCUCAUUUAGAGGAAGCAAAAGUCGUAACAAGGUUUCCGUAGGUGAACCUGCAGAAGGAUCA